CACGUAGGGCGCGAGCGUUGUCCGGAAUUAUUGGGCGUAAAGAGCUCGUAGGCGGCCUGUUGCGUCCGGCUGUGAAAACCCGCGGCUCAACUGCGGGCUUGCAGCCGAUACGGGCAGGCUAGAGUUCGGUAGGGGAGACUGGAAUUCCUGGUGUAGCGGUGAAAUGCGCAGAUAUCAGGAGGAACACCGGUGGCGAAGGCGGGUCUCUGGGCCGAUACUGACGU
rnacentral:rRNA from 1 species